CCAAGAGGGCGCCAUAAGACCUGCUAACUCUUUAAUCUGGGAUUUGACCCCAGCCCCCUC
rnacentral:tRNA from 6 species